rnacentral:lncRNA from 1 species
AUUAGUCUCUGCCCGCAUUUUAGUUCCCACCCUUUAACUGCCCUCUGCUCAGUCAACCCUGCCCCACAACCACUUCCCUGGACCUGGCCCUCGCCCCUCACCUCGAGGCUACCCACCCAGGGAACCCUCUUGAACUCACCAAGCAAACUGGAAAUUCUGGCCCUCUGAGAACAGGUGUGCAGCUGUUGCCCAGCUGUUGCCCAGCCUCAGUGGCCAAAUGCAACAACGGCCACUCUCCGUAACUGUCAGAGUGACAGCGAGACCCAAAGCGGAAAUUUAAGGGUGGUUCAAGCUAAACCGGAAGUGGAAGUGCCUGUCGGUAUGAUGGGCAGAGCAACUGAGGAGCCCUUCAGCUGGUUUUAGAGUCAGCGAGAGGGUGCUGAGGCCUGAGUCUGGAGUCUUAAUGAGCGGUAGAAAUUGUUUUGCAUUCAGCAUUGGGUCUCUAAAUGAUGAGGUUGCAGAGUCUGGUGUCACCAUAAAAUCUGUCUCCAGCCAAAUGAGUUGACAGAUGACCAGAUGGAAACCAGCUCCUGGGAGGCAGAGCCAGGAGGAUCACAAGUUCAAACCCAGCCUAGGCAUCUUUGCCACACCUUGUCUCAAAACUCAAGGCAGGAAGAUCACAAGUUGAAGGCCAGCCUGGGAAACUUGGUGGCUCUCUGGAGCCCAGAGAGUCCAGCUCAAAGGCCCCAGCACAUACAAAGGCAUGGGGAAGGGGUCUCAGCAGAUUGAGGGAAGUGAGAUUCCAGGAGCUCACAGUCUGAGCAGGGAGAGGUUCACUGGAUAGUCGUGCACUAGACUUCGAAGCCAGGGGAUCCUUGGCUGAGCUAUGAUGUUUUCAAUGGUUUAGAACCUGGUGACCUUUGAGAACAUGGCUGUGGACUUCACCCAGAAGGAGUGGGCAUUGCUGGAAAUGUCCGAAAGAUCCCUGUACAGGGAGGUGACGCUGGAGAACUUCAAGAACCUGGCCUCGCUUGGUAUCUGAAGGUCUGAUCAUCACUCAGCAUAGGAAAAAGGGAUUUUUAGAUGCAUAUGAAUUACCAAAACUGAACCAAGAAGAUAAUAAAAUUUUAAAUAGUCCAGUAACAGGUGAUGAAACCGAGGCAGUCAUAAAAAUCCUACCAGCUAAGAAAAAUCCAGGACCUGAUGGAUUCAC